rnacentral:rRNA from 1 species
AACGGAGGAUGCAAGCGUUAUCCGGAAUGAUUGGGCGUAAAGCGUCCGCAGGUGGCAGUUCAAGUCUGCUGUCAAAGACCGGGGCUUAACUUCGGAAAGGCAGUGGAAACUGAACAGCUAGAGUAUGGUAGGGGCAGAGGGAAUUCCUGGUGUAGCGGUGAAAUGCGUAGAGAUCAGGAAGAACAUCGGUGGCGAAGGCGCUCUGCUGGACCAUAACUGACACUCAGGGACGAAAGCUAGGGGAGCGAAUGGG